AAGCUCCUACGGGAGGCAGCAGUGGGGAAUAUUGCACAAUGGGGGAAACCCUGAUGCAGCGACGCCGCGUGAGUGAAGAAGUAUCUCGGUACGUAAAGCUCUAUCAGCAGGGAAGAAAGAAAUGACGGUACCUGAGUAAGAAGCCCCGGCUAACUACGUGCCAGCAGCCGCGGUAAUACGUAGGGGGCAAGCGUUAUCCGGAAUUACUGGGUGUAAAGGGAGCGUAGACGGUAAUGCAAGUCUGGAGUGAAAGGCGGGGGCCCACCCCCCGGACUGCUCUGGAAACUGUGUAACUGGAGUGCAGG
rnacentral:rRNA from 1 species